rnacentral:rRNA from 2 species
GUUGGUGGUUAUUGUGUCGGGGGUACGCCCGGUCCCUUUCCGAACCCGGAAGCUAAGCCCGAU